CGCCGCGUGAGGGAUGAAGGCCUCUGGGCUGUAAACCUCUUUUAUCAAGGAAGAAGAUCUGACGGUACUUGAUGAAUAAGCCACGGCUAAUUCCGUGCCAGCAGCCGCGGUAAUACGGGAGUGGCAAGCGUUAUCCGGAAUUAUUGGGCGUAAAGCGUCCGCAGGCGGUCUUGUAAGUCUGUCGUUAAAGCGUGGAGCUUAACUCCAUUUCGGCGGUGGAAACUACAAGACUAGAGUGUGGUAGGGGCAGAGGGAAUUCCCGGUGUAGCGGUGAAAUGCGUAGAUAUCGGGAAGAACACCAGUGGCGAAGGCGCUCUGCUGGGCCAUAACUGACGCUCAUGGACGAAAGCCAGGGGAGCGAAAGGGAUUAGAUACCCCUGUAGUCCUGGCCGUAAACGAUGAACACUAGGUGUCGGGGGAAUCGACCCCCUCGGUGUCGUAGCCAGCGCGUUAAGUGUUCCGCCUGGGGAGUACGCACGCAAGUGUG
rnacentral:rRNA from 1 species